rnacentral:sRNA from 1 species
GAUCUGAAGGCGGCGUGCCCGUGCCGCGUGAUCGUGUUGUGAAUAAAGAGCCAUCAAGUGCUUCCAAUCAUACCCGAGUUUCUGGAACUUCUUAUGAGGAUAAAGCUUUAAACAAGUCAAAUCAUUCUUCGAAUGGUGUUGCUUCUGCGCCCAAGGUUUCAGGGGGAAGUCCCCGUGAGAAUUUGAGUUCUCCCGUGAAAGGAGAGGGAGUUGUGCAUAGUAAUUACACGGCUUCCCUGGUGAAGAAAAAGAAGAAUGGGAACAAGGAAAUGGAUUCUGGGGUGGAGGAUGAAAAGAUUGAGGCUUUGAUCAAGUGUGAUUUUUUUGAUGGGGAAUGGAUUAAAGAUGAUUCUUAUCCUCUCUAUGCACCGGGGUCUUGCAAUCUGAUCGAUGAACAGUUUAGUUGUAUCCAAAAUGGAAGACCUGAUAAAGACUAUCAGAAAUAUAAAUGGAAGCCAAAGGGAUG